AACGAACGCUGGCGGCAUGCCUAACACAUGCAAGUCGAACGAGACCUUCGGGUCUAGUGGCGCACGGGUGCGUAACGCGUGGGAACCUGCCCUUAAGUUCGGAAUAACUCCCCGAAAGGGGUGCUAAUACCGGAUAAUGUCUUCGGACCAAAGAUUUAUCGCCUUUGGAUGGGCCCGCGUUGGAUUAGCUAGUUGGUAGGGUAAAAGCCUACCAAGGCGACGAUCCAUAGCUGGUCUGAGAGGAUGAUCAGCCACACUGGGACUGAGACACGGCCCAGACUCCUACGGGAGGCAGCAGUGGGGAAUAUUGGACAAUGGGCGAAAGCCUGAUCCAGCAAUGCCGCGUGAGUGAUGAAGGCCUUAGGGUUGUAAAGCUCUUUUAACCGGGAUGAUAAUGACAGUACCGGGAGAAUAAGCGCCGGCUAACUCCGUG
rnacentral:rRNA from 1 species